UAAGUCGACCGCCUGGGGAGUACGGCCGCAAGGUUAAAACUCAAAUGAAUUGACGGGGGCCCGCACAAGCGGUGGAGCAUGUGGUUUAAUUCGAUGCAACGCGAAGAACCUUACCUGGUCUUGACAUCCACGGAAGUUUUCAGAGAUGAGAAUGUGCCUUCGGGAACCGUGAGACAGGUGCUGCAUGGCUGUCGUCAGCUCGUGUUGUGAAAUGUUGGGUUAAGUCCCGCAACGAGCGCAACCCUUAUCCUUUGUUGCCAGCGGUCCGGCCGGGAACUCAAAGGAGACUGCCAGUGAUAAACUGGAGGAAGGUGGGGAUGACGUCAAGUCAUCAUGGCCCUUACGACCAGGGCUACACACGUGCUACAAUGGCGCAUACAAAGAGAAGCGACCUCGCGAGAGCAAGCGGACCUCAUAAAGUGCGUCGUAGUCCGGAUUGGAGUCUGCAACUCGACUCCAUGAAGUCGGAAUCGCUAGUAAUCGUGGAUCAGAAUGCCACGGUGAAUACGUUCCCGGGCCUUGUACACACCGCCCGUCACACCAUGGGAGUGGGUUGCAAAAGAAGUAGGUAGCUUAACCUUCGGGAGGGCGCUUACCACUUUGUGAUUCAUGACUGGGGUGAAGUCGUAACAAGGUAACCGUAGGGGAACCUGCGGUUGGAUCAC
rnacentral:rRNA from 1 species